rnacentral:lncRNA from 1 species
UCUUUUCUGUUUUAAUUCAUUUUAAAAUAAUUAGGCACUUUCUAAAAAUAUGUUUUCUUUAUUAUAAUUACCCUUGUAAUAUUCGGCACUCACCGAACAUUUUGUUUCAACUCUUGAAAUUUUUGUUGUUUGACAUAUUUUGAAUUUAAAAUUUGAAGGGGUUUCGAAUCAAUGUGAGGUUAGCAACAGUAACUGUGGUGACAUGGCAUCGUUAACAUGGGAUUACUGUAGCAUGAUUAUCCGGGCGUCACAAUUCUCCUCCACUACAAGAAAUCUCGUCCCGAGAUAUAAGAGGGGAGUAAAGGGGAAAGUUCUGGUUACGCAAUUCUAACGGGUGUCCUCGGUCUUGGUUGCUCUUCUCGAAGAGGUCGAUCCAUUAUGUUGAUGUCUUCAUUCUCUGUUUCAAGGCAUCAUGAUGAAGUCAUCAUCCUUUCUCCCGGGGUUCCCUCGUACUUCACGAAAAAGGAUAAUGGGUAUCUUCGGAAGAACUGGCCUCUAGAAGGUCGCUUAUCUGGUAGAUAACACCAGGAAAGGUGGCGAAAAGUAACGCUCGAAUUGUAACUGAAGAAAAUUUCGGAAGCCAAGUAAGAAGGUACCAUGAGAAGUUUCGAUCCGGCAGGCAAUCAUUCAUUGCCUGAAGCGAAGUGUGAAAGGGGUUUAGAACAAAGGGAAUAAGCAUUGUGUGUGAUACCAGAAUAGAUCACUAGGAAGGUGGUCCAUGAAUUACAUAUGAGGCCACGCGCGAGGAACAACCUUGCUAACAGGGGGUGUACAGAAGAGUCAGGUUUCGAUCCUAUGGAACUGUGGGUUAUGGGCCCACCAUGUGGGUAAAAAGCAGGAAGAGGGGUGACGUCUUGCACGAUCCUGUAAGCAAGGCAUGUUAGAGAAUAACCGGUCAGUUAUGUUGGCAGCAUCAUUGGUACCAAGGGCAAGGGACGAAGAGAACCAUUUUCCUGCUCGUUGAACGAGGUGGACCACUAGGCAAAGUUCUCAUCCAUCGGUGGCUACCAGAAUGUCAUCAACAAUAGUAACAGGGUCUUGCUGACAGAAUUGUACACUGAUGUGUUUACAUAAGCAGAAGAAUCUUACUGCUUAGAUCAUAUAGAUCACAAGAAAGGUUAACAAACCAAUGGAAAGGAAAAUGUGAUCAUCAGGUUAAACAGACAAUGGAAAGGAAAAAUGUGUUUAAACACAUAUUUCAGGGGUAUAUCCUUCCCAAGGACAAGCAGAGCAUGAUAUCCAUGAUAGGAUAUAACGUAGAAAACCCUUUAGGAAAGGAGAGAGAAAUAUGAUGAGAUUACCCAUACAACGGUGCUUGGGGUAAUUGAGAAAGAAACAUUUAGCUUUGGGCUUCAAAUGUUUUUGUUGAAAAUCGAAGUACCACAGACAUGCUUCGAGAUAGCACUGACAUGGUCUUCAAGCAAAGUUCAGACCUUGGAAACACAAAGGAUCCAUCAGGAUAACUUAUUAAACAAGGCAUUCAAAUUCUUCAUGGAAAAUGGUUCUCCUUGCUAAAAAGUAAAUUAUAACAAUAGGUCCUCCGGUCAGGUGUGCUAGGCAUGACAUCACCUUACCGAGUCAUAUAAAGACCAAUGUUAUAACUCUUGGAAAUAUGUUCCCACCAUCAUAUCUGACCGAGAUUCAGAUUUGAUUGUUGUUAGGAUACCUCAGACUCAGGAUGCCUGAGAAGAAAAGGUGCAAAACAAAUUGACGAGAUGACAUUGUAAGAUUCUCGGGAAAUGUACUAUGGAAGGGAGUUCCAGAACAAGAGCUCAUCAUUCAACCAAUGAAGGGAUAAGGAGGUAGUUGAUGAACUCAGUGACAAUUCAUCGAGAUUUCGAAAGGAUGGGUUUCCACAGUUAUGUGAACAAGGAGAUAACAUUUGUCAGAUCAAAUGAUAUAAUGAUGUAUGCUCGAGGAAAGCAUACACAAUUGAACAUUGAUUGAAAGGUGCACCCAAAAGAUGGGCUUAGGUAGCAUGAUCAACGUUAGAAUGGUGGUUCAACAACCAUUAGUCUAAGAACGAACUAUCGACCAUCAACUUCAAAGCAAUAGGGUUGUUAGAAGUACAAAAUCCACGCAGUACCGUUCACUUGUUGGAAUCCCAGCUAGAAUCAACAUGGGGACCAAGAAGGGAAGGAUAUGGUGAGAAGUAUUACUUGCAUCAAAAAUUCAUAAGAGGUGGUGAAAGUCUCAUGACAUUCUUGACAAGGCAGAUGGUAAUACUCCAAGGUAAAGAAGAACAAUUGUUGGAUAGCACGGAACUCAAGGUACAACACAACAAGAACAAGUUUUGGUGUUGGAGGGAAUGCAAUAAUGUUGUCGAUGUUAACCCAAAUCAUCGAGGGGGCAAGCAUGGAAUUUCUCAUCAUGAACUCAAUGUACGUCUCGAAAGAAGUUAAAAUGUUGAAGAUGAUCAUGACACAUUUAUCAAGAGGUUUCAAGAAGAUGUAAUCGAUCGGCGAAGACAACACAUCAAGGGAAUGGUGAAGUAAAAGGUUACUAUAACCAUAGAUAAGAUGCCAUCUCAGAAUUCGGAGUUGUCUCUCAAGACAAACAAUAUGAUGCGGAAAGUUCGAUGUAAGCUUAGAGCACUGUCGGUAUUGUGUCCCGGGGAUGAAGGACAUAGGUAGAAUGGUCAAGCAGUCAGCCUGACGAUGAUGAUGUAGUCAAUCCAUUGGGAAUGACAUGAUCAAGUGCAAACUCGUAAGCAAUGAAGACUACUAAAAGUUGUCGAAUCAUAGUGUGGACUUGGUCCACUAUUCGGUGUUCUCGGUUGACGACAACCCAGAACUCGUGAGUGACUAUGACAGGGAAAGGUAUUACUCAAUUACAAAUUCGUAAGAUGUAGUGCAAUGGCAUGAUAUCCUCGAGAUACCAGGUGUAAUACUCGACGGCAGAUCAAAAUAGAGGUUGGACAAGCGUAUUGCUCUGUAGAAGGCAAGUACUUCAACUUGUCCGAGAAAAGGAUCAAAGAUGAUCAAACAUGGUCGAAACCAUGGUUGCAAAGGACCAACAUAGAUACAAGAUGAAAUUGUAACCAGGGGACCAUUAUUAAUACAAGAAGCUUCCAUGAUAAGUUCCACAUUGGGUCCAUGGGCAUGAACACAAAGUUCAAGGUCGACUCCCACUUCUCCAAAGCACAACCUUACAUUCAUUUCUCGUUUCAAAUAUUGGCAUUAGUGUUGAAAGUUUUACCUGGUGAAAUACCAGAUGAGUAUGGCCCGUGAAAUCUUCCGGGCUCGCAUAGAUUAGGUAAGGCAUUGUUUCAACCCGUCGGGGCAUCUUAGGAACAUAUACCACAAACUUUUAGGAGUAAUUAACACAAGCUCGAAAGUAGAGCAUGGUUGUCAAAGCAGAGGAUACAAUUUACCAAAGGCAUUAUGUAUCAGGGAAAUAACUCACAAGGUGAUUAAAUAUGAAGAAUACGGUUGGAUAACAAUCCAACAAAGGACAUGAUGGUCCACAAAGGAUCUGAUGUGAGUAUCGGUACCCAACGAGAAGAGGAAAGAAUGCAAAUGCAAUAGGUUAUGGAAUCAUAUGAAUAAUUCGAAGCUUAAUUGCAAAGGGAUUAUGAUUCCAAAUCGAAGGAUCAGAAGCAGAUGCUCUGAUCAAGGGUGGAUAAGUUGAAUAGACUUAGGGGCAUAAUUGACGGCAAUUUGAUUGGUCGAGAACCAGCUCCUGUUCAAAAUGUCGUCUGAGCCGGAUGAAUUCUAGGACCUGAUUGUGGAUUGCGAGCAUUCACAACAUAUUGAAUCAACGGACCCAAAUGAUAAUGACAAGGGAAGUCAAUAAGAUUACGAGACUUAUGGGGUUAACCAUAAAGCAAGCAAGCAAGAAUUUCAAGAGCAAAAGGCUCCUGAGGAUUUUCGGAAGAUCGAAUGGUAUUUCAAAGACUGUUGUGAAAUACAUGAAUCAACUGGGAAUGAACGGAUACUCGAUAAGUGCGAGAAAUUAUCUGUAGGGGUAUUCAGGUGGCAAAGAACUGCAAGGCAGUGCUACAAGGGAUUCUUAAAAGUCGAAGAGCAAUUCGAUGUAUCUGGUAAUAACAAGAGAAACUCAGAGUAGUUGUAUGAACAAGUGUAUGUUGUUAUCCAUAUGGAUAUAUCAGUAGUAUGGAAUUGAAAAGGCAGAGGGCACAAGGGUCUAUGGAAUGAUCGAAGAGUAUCUUCAACAUCUUCUGGUGCAGUCGUCGAUCAUCUGCGAUAAGGGGCUCUCCAGGAGAAGUAGUUACGAGAGCCUAGAGUCAGAUUUAGUGAAAUCAUUUAACCCGAUUAGAAGAGAGAUCAGAGUCCCAGAGAAUAGGCGAGGAGUAAAAGAUCCUAAUACCACCCAAUGGCGACGUGGGCCCGUAAGGCACACAACCAAGUUAGUAAAAGUUUUGUAGUGACUAGACUCGACUUCGGCCAAGGAGUGUGGAAGGGGGAUUCCUAUAGGCAGGCGGCUCUGAUACCAACUUGUGACGCCCCCGAUUCAAUCGUACACUAAUCAUGCAUGCAAACGUGUACGAUCAAGAUCAUGGACUCAUGGGAAGAUAUCACAACACAGCUCUAAAAACAUAAAUAAGUCAUCCAAGCAUCGUAAUACAAGCUAGGGGCCUCGAGGGCUCGAAUACAAGUGCUCGAUCAUAGACGAGUCAGCGGAAGCAACAAUAUCUGAGUACAGACAUAAGUUAAACAAGUUUGCCUUAAGAAGGCUAGCACAAACUAGAUACAGAUCGAAAGAGGCACAGGCCUCCUGCCUGGGAUCCUCCUAAACUACUCCUGGUCGUCGUCAGCGGCCUGCACGUAGUAGUAGGCACCCCCGGUGUAGUAAGAGUCGUCGAGGGUGGCGUCUGGCUCCUGGGCUCCAAUGUCUGUUUGCGGCAUCCGAGAAGAAGAGGAAAAUGGGGGAAAAGAGGGAGCAAAGCAACCGUGAGUACUCAUCCAAAGUACUCGCAAGCAAGGAGCUACACUACAUAUGCAUGGGUAUAUGUGUAAGAAGGCCAUAUCAGUGGACUAAACUACAGAAUGCCAGAAUAAGAGGGGGAUAGCUAGUCCUAUCGAAGACUACGCUUCUGGUAGCCUCCGUCUUGCAGCAUGUAGAAGAGAGUAGAUUGAAGUCCUCCAAGUAGCAACGCAUAGCAUAAUCCUAUCCGGCGAUCCUCCCCUCGUCACCCUGUGGAAAAGCGAUCACCGGGUUGUCUGUGGAACUUGCCUGGUGUGUUUUAUUAAGUAUCCGGUUCUAGUUGUCAUAAGGUCAAGGUACAACUCCGGGUCGUCCUUUUACCGAGGGACACGGCUAUUCGAAUAGAUAAACUUCCCUGCAGGGGUGCACAACAUAACCCAACACACUCGAUCCCAUUUGGCCGGACACACUUUCCUGGGUCAUGCCUGUCGUUGUUUUGAGUCUGACAGUAGAAUGGGGGGUAGGUAUGGAGAGGCAAGAUCCUAGCUAUGGAGUAGUUGUAUACGCAAGGGAUUUACAAGUUUAGGCCCUUCUCAGAGGAAGUAACAGCCCUACGUCUCGGAGCCCGGAGGCGGUCGACUGGAUUAUGUGCAUAUGAGUUACAGGGGUGCGAACCCUUUACACUAAGGAGGGGGGUGGCUUAUAUAGUGUCUGCCAGACCCCUCCGGUCCUCAGUUAUGCGGGGUUUAAAGUACAUAAAGGAUUGGCAUUACUGGUAACGCCCUACAUAAAGUGUCAUCAUGGUAAUAAAGACUACUUAAUUAUAGACCGUUUGGAUAUAGAGCGACUCUUAAUCUCCUGGUGGUCAAGUGAGUCUUCGUGGUCGAAUGCCUUCGAGUCCGUCGAGUGGAAUUCCUCUUGGUCGACUGGAACGCUAUUUCUUCUGAAGAUGUCCUUGGGGAGGGUCCUCUGGACAGGCUCAUGACCCUACCCUAGGUACAUGACUUCAUCAUUAGCCCCCGAAUGGAUCGAGGUUUGAAUGAGGAAGGAGUUGAUAAUCUUUCCGGCCUGUUUUUGUGUUCUGUGUAUGUCUCAUCCUGGAUCAAUGACCCUCUUUUUUUUAUGAUGGCAUCAACUUUUCUUUCAGUAGCCUUGAUCCAUUCUUUUCUUCUGUCGAGUGAACUUUUGAACUUGGUGAACUUCCAAGCGACGGAUCGUAGGAAAUCUACCGUCUGACAAGUUGAUCUGCUGUUAGCGGAUUUUGUGGGAUCCGAAUUUUGGGAAGCGCGCGAAGCGGGGUGGACUGCGGUACUCGGAUGGGAUAAGGCGUAGAUGCCUCGAUUUCCGUGCCGCCUUUUUCGCCACGUAUCGCGCGCGUGCGACUGUUUUGGGAUUUGACAGGUCCGCCCGGGCCUACUUGUCAGCCACUCGGAAGCGUCCCUAUAUAAGGUACCGGGCGAGGGUUUUUGAACAGUGCCUCUCCAUUCCCCUUUCUGCCUUCUUCACCCCCGCCUGCUGCGCCCGCUUUUGCCUCCGCCCAUCCACUCCUCGCGCGCUUCGCCGGCGACGAUGGUGAAGGAGAAGACGGUGGCCUUGGAGCGAGCGAAAAAGGCGACGGCGACGGCGAAAGCGAAGGGAAGAGCAACCAGUCGGGGUGGAUCUUCGUCGAGGUCUCGCCUGCCGCAAGGCUGGGUCCAAGGGGAUUGGAUCCGCUCGACCAUCACCCAGGCGGAUCUCAACGACCUGGCCAAUGAGGGACUGAUCUCUCAUGGGUCAGCAAGGCUUCCGGGGACCGAGUGGGAACCGCAGCCACUGGAGGGUGAGUGCGUUCUCCUAGCCACUCAUGUAGAUCGUGGAUUCUCCCUGCCAUUGAGUCUUUUCUUCCGAGGGUUUCUGAACUUCUUUGGGGCGCAACUCCACCAUUUCACUCCCAAUUCCAUUGCCUACCUCGCCGCCUUUGUGUAUUUGUGCGAAAACUUCCUGGGUUGUCGACCGCAUUGGGGUCUCUUUAAGCACAUAUUCACUUGUCGCUCUCAGACGGUGAAAAAGGUGAGUCCGGAUGACGAUAGGACUAAAGUAUUCCAGAUGUGCGGGGGUCUUGGGAUCCAAGUGAGGAGUAAGAGUGCUUUUCUAGCCAUGACCCUUCCCGAGUCGGUUAGAGGGUGGCAGUCGACUUGGUUCUACUGCCAAGACGAGUCGACGCCUGGGCAGUCGACUGGUCUCCCUCCGUUCUCCAUGGACCGAGUGAACAAGCCGUCUUCUCUGAAGGUGCUCCCGGAGGAGAAGGCUCAGGUAAAAAUGUUGAUGGAGCGUGUAGUCCAGCUCAUUCGAGACGGAGUGACUGCCAUGGACCUUCUGGAGGUUUUCCUUCGACGGCGUAUUCAACCGCUCCAAUACCGAGGCCACCCGAUGUGGCUGUACUGCGGCACCGAAGAUACCACUCGGGUCCAUCCAGAGGCGGUCAAUGACGCCACACUGGAGAGGUGGAUGGCUGCCAUCACAAGGAAUAAAGAUAACCCUCGAGGGGCUAGGAGGAUCCCACCACUCGACCAUUCCUACACACCGGACACGGUAUGACCACUUAUCCCUGGUUGUGAUCUUGCUUUAUUCAUUCUGCUUCACUGCAAAUUGGUCGAUUGAACUUUGUCUUGUUUUGUUGUCCGUCAGGCCACCACUGAGUUGUACUCGAUGCCCAAUGGAGCGCAAGCGCCGACUAAGGAGGAGGAAGUAAGUGGGGGCGAAAGCCCGGAGGAGUGGCAUUCGGAUGCGUAUGACGACGAUGAAGACGAUGACUCUGAUGAGGAGGAAGAGGAGGAGGAGGAGGAAGUUGCACCUCCUUGUUUGAAAAGAUGCUCGAAGCUUGUCCAUGAUCCUGCAGCCGAGCCUGGUAAGGGGGUUGCGCCCGUCGCGCAGUCGACCAAGCGUCCUCGGACGACUUCUCUGGCGCCGACUGAAAAAGCUCUGAAGCAAUCUCGAGUGGCGUCGUCGAAGCCGACGAAGGUCUUGUCGAAGAUGAAGGGUGAUCCCCACUAUCUCAGGGUAAUAGUGUAACUUAAGUUUCCUCGUUUCACAUGAAUUUAUUCUUGGCCGAUUCGUGAGCUGACCGACUGACUUCUAGAGCUGCAGUGCUGUUACUUCUGAUACCUCAGCCAGGGCUGAAGAUCACGAGAUGGAAGAUGCUGUCACUUCAAAACCUGGUAUGACUUUUGUAGUUUUGUCUUCAGUCGGUUGGCUCUUUGUCUUUAAUUUUGACUCUUUUCUGCAGCUCCAUCUAACGUCGUUAUUGACCUUCCCGACGACGAUGACGAGGAACCACUGAGGCAGAGGAGGAACAGGAAAGCGUCUACUGGCAAGGAGACUCAGGACGUGCCAGCACCCGAGAAGUUGGUCGUAGAGGGGGACAACGUCACUCGGCCUACCGUACCUUUUGCGGUGCCGCUGACGAGUGCUCGCCCUUCGUCGUCGAGUGCUGCUCAGCCUUCACUUUUCUCGACCCACCACGUCCCAGAAGACCAAGCUAGUGCUGCUAAAGAAGCAAUAUGCCAGGCAGGGAUCAUGAUGGAGCAAGUGAAGGCAAUCUGAGACGCCAGUUAGGCGGCUUAUGACGCCAGUUCAGCUCUUCAGAGCAAUGUUCAGGUCAGUCGAUCACCGCCUGUUCUGUUAGGAUAUGAUAUCUUAAAAUCCUUCUUUCUGAAAAUUUGAGUAUCUGUCGUACACCCACUGGGUGUGUUGAUUGACAUUCCGGAUUAGUGGGGGCACGCUGAGUGCACCCACUGGGUGUAGUCCCCAAGGCUAUGGUCGACUGCUGGCAGUCGACCAUAGUCUUUAUGUCUUAAGCUUUUUCUUUAUUAGAUCAAGUCGAAUGGAUUGAUAAAUCAGUGGGGGCACGCUGAGUGCACCCACUGGGUGUAGUCCCCGAGACUGUGGUCGAAUGCUGGCAGUCGACGAUAGUUUGAAGAUAACCUUUCUUUUUUUUGCUACUUGUUGGUCGACUGAUCGACUCUAACUGGUAGAACUAGUGGGGGCACGCUGAGUGCACCCACUGGGUGUAGUACCUGAGACUAUGGUCGAAUGUUUAUAUUUGGCUGUAGUCUUAGAAAUGAUAUGAUUUUUCCUUAGUCACUCGGAAGUGAACUGUCUUUGACAUUUGUCGAUUGGUUCUUCGCAGAAAUCUUGCGAGCUUGUGGCUCGUUACAGAGAGUUGGAGAACAAGCAAAUCCAGCUCGAGCUUGAUCUAAAACUGGUCCAGGAGAACUUCACGAAGUCGAAGGAGGAAGCAAAAGGUGUGUUUGGUGAGAACCUCGACCAUUGCUUUUUGCCUCUCGCCCGUUUCAGAGUCUGGUCUCACUGUGACUUUGCAGACAAACUGAGGGAUGCUCUGAAGAAGAAAGACCUUGACUUGGCUGAGAUGCAGAAACCGGCUUUAGAGAAGACCAAGCUCGCAGAUGAGAAGCUGGCUUCAAUCACCAAGCUUGAAGAGGAAAAUACCAAUCUGAAAGCUGCUCUUGAUGCGGCCAACAAGGAGGUCAGUCGACUGAAGAGUGACAAGAUUGCCUUGAGUGACAAGGCCAGUGAGUUGGUGGGAAAGAAGAAUGAUCUUGAGGCUUAUCUGGAAGGACUCGCCAAAAAGCUAUUCCUCAUGCUUGAAGGUAAUCUUUUGUAUCAAAUAGACAAUUUAACUAUGAUCUCUCCAUCCGACUGUUGUCUUGACUCUGGGGUUGUGCUCGCAGAGUUCUGCCAGAACUUUGAAGAGGAGACUGGUCGACUGGAAAUAAACCUGGAUCCCAUCAACUCUCCUGUGAAAUAUGAAGUCGCCAUGAAUGUGCUCCGACUCGGAUCUCGCGUUGUUGUUGUUGUCGACUAUCUCGCAAGGCUGAAGGUCGCAACUUCCCGCAUCGACACAACACUCUGGCCAAGAGAGACGUUUCAGAAUGACCUCGAGUCUUUGAUGACUCGACUGAACGAGGUUCCAAGUCGAGUGCAAGAAUGGAAGAAGUCUUCUGCCAGAUGCGGCGCGGAUGUUGCUCUGUCUCUGGCCCGUGUUCACUGCAAGGAGGCGCGAGAGGACAAGCUGGCAGCCCUUAAGGUGGCUAAUACCAAGAAGCAUGAUUUCCGAUCUUUCAUGGAGACCUUCAUCGCCGUUGCCACUCGGAUUGCAGAUGGAAUCGACCUGGAUGAAUUUGUUGCACCUUCCAGCCCUCCGCAGGAGGGGUAAAAAACUUAUGUGCUCGAUACUUUAAAUUUGCCUCGGUAUGCCGAGUGAUUUUUGUAACCGAUAAACUUUAACGGGCUUAGCGCCCGAGCACUUUCGGUUCCGUUGGAUGUUAUCUGAACUUGGAUUCGACGUUAAAUAUGUUUGCAUUUGGUUUGAGGUGUCUUUUGCAGGCUAGGGCGAAGCGCUUGUUGCAAUCGACUUGUUCCUCAACACACUUAGGCGAGCACUGGACUACAGCUAAGCCCCCGAGUGGGAGGUCUGCUCUCCACUCAAUAGGAUUUUCAAAUCUUAGGCGAGCACUGGGCUGCAGCUAAGCCCCCGAGUGGGAGGUCUGCUCUCCACUCGGUAGGAUUUUCAAAAACUUAGGCGAGCACUGGGCUGCAGCUAAGCCUCCGAGUGGGAGGUCUGCUCUCCACUCGAUAGGAUUUUCAAAAAACUUAGGCGAGCACUGGGCUGCAGCUAAGCCCCCGAGUGGGAGGUCUGCUCUCCAUUCGGUAGGAUUUUCAAAAACUUAGGCAAGCACUGGGCUGCAGCUAAGCCUCCGAGUGGGAGGUCUGCUCUCCACUCGGUAGGAUUUUCAAAAACUUAGGCGAGCACUGGGCUGCAGCUAAGCCCCCGGUGGGAGGUCUGCUCUUCACUCGGUAGGAUUUUUGUGGCGUACCUCUAGAGAAGGAGGUAACAAUCGACCUGCACCUCGUCCUCCUUGCAGAGCGCACGUUGUAUUUGUGGCGUAGCUCAGAAGGAGAGGGUAGCAGUCGACCUGCACCUCGUCCUCCUUGCAGAGUGCACGUUGUAUUUGUGGCGUAGCUCGGAAGGAGAGGGUAGCAGUCGACCUGCACCUCGUCCUCCUUGCAGAGCGCAUGUUGUAUUUGUGGCGUAGCUCGGAAGGAGAGGGCAGCAGUCGACCUGCACCUCGUCCUUGCAGAGCGCAUGNNNNNNNNNNGAGCACUGGACUGCAGCUAAGCCCCCGAGUGGGAGGUCUGCUCUCCACUCGGUAGGAUUUUCAAAACUUAGGCGAGCACUGGGCUGCAGCUAAGCCCCCGAGUGGGAGGUCUGCUCUCCACUCGGUAGGAUUUUCAAAAACUUAGGCGAGCACUGGGCUGCAGCUAAGCCCCCGAGUGGGAGGUCUGCUCUCCACUCGGUAGGAUUUUCAAAAACUUAGGCGAGCACUGGGCCGCAGCUAAGCCCCCGAGUGGGAGGUCUGCUCUCCACUCGGUAGGAUUUUAAAAAACUUAGGCAAGCACUGGGCCGCAGCUAAGCCCCCGAGUGGGAGGUCUGCUCUCCACUCGGUAGGAUUUUCGUGGCGUACCUCUGGAGAAGGAGGUAACAGUCGACCUGCACCUCGUCCUCCUUGCAAAGCGCACGUUGUAUUUGUGGCAUAGCUCGGAAGGAGAGGGUGGCAGUCGACCUGCACCUCAUCCUCCUUGCAAAGCGCACGUUGUAUUUGUGGUGUAGCUCGGAAGGAGAGGGUAGCAGUCGACCUGCACCUCAUCCUCCUUGCGUAGCGCACGUUGUAUUUGAACUUAGGCGAGCGCAAUGCUGCAGCUAAGCCUCCGAGUGGGAGGUUGGCUCUCCACUCGGUAGGAUUUUGUUUAACUUAGGCGAGUACUUGUACUGCAGCUAAGCCUCCGAGUGGAAGGCUGGCUUACCACUCGGUAGGAUUUUGUUUAACUUAGGCGAGUACUUGUACUNNNNNNNNNNNNNNNNNNNNNNNNNNNNNNNNNNNNNNNNNNNNNNNNNNNNNNNNNNNNNNNNNNNNNNNNNNNNNNNNNNNNNNNNNNNNNNNNNNNNNNNNNNNNNNNNNNNNNNNNNNNNNNNNNNNNNNNNNNNNNNNNNNNNNNNNNNNNNACGUUGUAUUUGAACUUAGGCGAGCGCAAUGCUGCAGCUAAGCCUCCGAGUGUAAGGCUGGCUUACCACUCGGUAGGAUUUUGUUUAACUUAGGCGAGUACUUGGACUGCAGCUAAGCCUCCGAGUGGAAGGCUGGCUUACCACUCGGUAGGAUUUUGUUUAACUUAGGCGAGUACUUGGACUGCAGCUAAGCCUCCGAGUGGAAGGUUGGCUUACCACUCGGUAGGAUUUUGUUUAAACUUAGGCGAGUAAUUGUACUGCAGCUAAGCCUCCGAGUGGAAGGUUGGCUUACCACUCGGUAGGAUUUGUUUAAACUUAGGCGAAACAGAUUCGCAGCUAAGCCCCCGAGUGGGAGGCUGGCUCACCACUCGGUAAGGAUUUGUUUAAACUUAGGCGAAACGGAUUCGCAGCUAAGCCCCCGAGUGGAAGGCUGGAUCACCACUCGGUAAGGAUUUGUUUAAACUUAGGCGAAACGGAUUCGCAGCUAAGCCCCCGAGUGGGAGGCUGGCUCACCACUCGGUAAGGAUUUUUUUUACAGACUUAGGCGAAUCAGAUUCGCAGCCAAGCCACCCAUUGGGGGAUUGCUUUAUGCGGACAAAAGUAACGACAAUUACUGGAAAAUUAUAAAGCUCUUGCCUUUGAUAAAUAAACUACAAAAGUUUUUAUUACAACCCAUCCGAGUGAAUACUUAAGUAUAAAAGGGGCGGAGGAGCUCCGCAUUCCAAGCUCGGGGCUCGUCGAUCUGGUGUUCGACAUUGUAAAGACGGUAUGCUCCAUUGUGGAGAACCUUGGUGACGAUGAAGGGACCCUCCCAAGAAGGAGCGAGCUUGUGUGGUUUCUGUUGAUCCACUCGGAGAACCAAAUCUCCUUACUGGAAGGCUUGACUCCUCAUGUUUUUGGUGUGGAAGCGACGCAAGUCCCGCUGGUAAAUGGUUGAUCGGAUCAAAGCCAUCUCCCUUUCUUCCUCUAGAAGGUCGACUACGUCUUGCCUGGCUUGUUCUGCUUCAGCUUCGGUGUAGAGCUCGACUUGGGGAGCGUUGUGAAGCAGGUCACUCGGCAAGACCGCUUCAGCUCCGUAGACUAAGAAGAACGGAGUUCUCCCAGUCGACCGAUUAGGCGUGGUCCUUAAUCCCCAAAGUACUAACGGAAGUUCGUCAACCCAUGAACCAGCUGCAUGCUUGAGAUCACGCAUCAAUCGGGGUUUCAACCCUUUGAGAAUCAAGCCGUUGGCUCGUUCUGCCUGUCAAUUCGACUGAGGAUGAGCGACUGAAGCAUAGUCGACUCGUGUGCCUUGAGAUGUGCAGAAAGCUCUAAAUUCCUCGGAAUCGAAGUUUCACCCGUUGUAAGUGAUGAUGCUGUGCGGGACUCCAUAUCUGAAUAUCAAUUCUCUGAUGAAGCUGACAGCAGUACCGGCAUCAAGGUUCUUGAUGGGUUUAGCCUCAAUCCACUUGGUGAACUUGUCGACUGCUACCAGCACAUGGGUGAAACCGCUUCUGCCUGUUCUCAAGGGGCCAACCAUAUCCAACCCCCAUACUGGGAAGGGCCAGGCAAGUGGUAUGGUCUUUAAAGCUGAGGCGGGCUUGUGUGACAUAUUGGAGUAAAAUUGACAUCCCUCACACUUGUCGACUAUCUCCUUUGCCAUUUCAUUCGCUCUUGGCCAGUAAAAUCCGGCUCGGUAUGCUUUGGCCAUGAUGGUCCGAGAGGACGCAUGAUGGCCACAGGUCCCCGAGUGGAUGUCGUCAAGGAUUAUUCGACCUUCUUCUGGCGUUAUGCAUUUCUGACCAACUCCAGUCGCGCUUUCUCUGUACAGUUGUCCCCUUAUCACGGUAAAGGCUUUAGAUCGGCGGACGAUCUGUCGAGCCUCUUCUUCAUCCUGUGGGAGCUCUUUCCUUAAGAUAUACGUGAUAUAUUGUACUGUCCAAUCGGGAGUGAUCACCAACACUUCCAUGAUCAGGUCGACCAAUGCCGGAAUUUCAACUACAGUCGGAUUCGUGGCACUCUUAGGUUGCGGAGCUUCUUCAGUAAAAGGAUCUUCUUUAACUGAUGGAGUGUGGAUGUGCUCCAAGAACACGUCACUGGGAAUAGCUUCUCUCUUGGAGCCUAUCUUUGCCAAGUCAUCAGCCGCUUGAUUCUUCAGUCGGGGUAUAUGAUGGAGCUCUAACCCCUCAAAUUUCUUCUCAAGCUUUCUCACUACAUUACAGUAUCCAGUCAUGGCUGGGCUUCUAACGUCCCACUCCUUCAUCGCCUGAUUGACCACCAAAUCUGAGUCGCCAUAAACCAUCAGGCGACGGACGCCGAGUGAAAUGGCCAUGCGCAACCCAUAUAAAAGCGCCUCGUAUUCUGCUUCAUUAUUGGAGGAAUCAAAGUGGAUCUGGAGCACAUAUCUGAGCUUAUCUCCUCAGGGGGAAACCAAAACCACCCCAGCACCGGAACCAUUUAACAUCUUAGAGCCAUCAAAGAACAUGGUCCAAUGCUCCGAGUGAACUUGAGUCGGCUGCUGUUGUUCAAUCCACUGGGCAAGGAAAUCUGCUAUCGCCUGGGACUUAAUGGUUUUCUUUGCCUCAAAUUUGAUAUCAAGGGGAAGGAGUUCAAUCACCCAUUUAGCCACUCGACCAGAUGCAUCUCUGAUGUGCAGAAUCUCUGACAGUGGUGCGUCGCUGACGACUGUAAUGGAAUGAUCAGAGAAAUAAUGAGCAACCUUCUUCGUGGUCAUGUAGAUCCCAUAUACAAGCUUCUGAUAAUGAGGAUAUCUUUGCUUCGAUGGAGUCAAAACUUCAGAGAGAUAAUACACUGGGCGCUGAACUUUGAAGGCUUUCCCUUCUUCUUCCCGCUCGACCGUAAGUAUUGUACUGAGGACUUGUCCUGUGGCUGCAAUGUAAAGCAACAGAGGCUCUUUGCUGAUUGGAGCAGCAAGCACCGGCUGGGUGGAGAGUAGAGCUUUUAGCUCGGCAAACGCUGCAUCGGCUUCUGGAGUCCACUCGAACUUGUCUGCCUUCUUCAUCAGUCGGUAAAGAGGUAAUGCCUUUUCAUCGAUGCGAGAGAUGAAUCGACUUAACGCGGCCAAGCAUCCAGUAAGCUUCUGGACAUCGUGCACAUGCACAGGGCGUUUCAUUCAGAGUAUGGUGCCAACUUUUUCUGGGUUAGUGUCGAUUCCUCGUUCUGAAACGAGAAAACCGAGUAACUUUCUGCCAGGAACUCCGAAUGUGCACUUUGAUGGAUUAAGCUUGAUAUCAUACCUCCUGAGAUUGGAAAAUGUUUUAGCAAGGUCAGUCAACAGGUUGGAACCCUUUCGUGACUUGACCAUGAUAUCAUCCAUGUACGCUUCCACAUUCCGACUGAUUUGAGUGAGUAAACACUUUUGAAUCAUCCUCAUGAACGUGGCUCCGGCAUUCUUGAGACCGAAUGGCAUGGUGACAUGGUAGAAGCACCCGAAUGGAGUGAUGAAAGCUGUUUUGAUCUCGUCGGGUCCAUACAGACGGAUCUGAUGGUACCCGGAAUAGGCGUCUAAAAAAGACAAUCUCUCGCAUCCCGCAGUCGAGUCGACAAUUUGGUCGAUGUGAGGGAGAGGAAAAUGAUCUUUCUGGUAGGCCCGAUUGAUAUGUUUGAAAUCGAUGCACAUGCGAAGUGACUUGUCCUUCUUGGGGACCAUGACGGCAUUGGCGAGCCACUCGGAGUGGUAUAUCUCUCGGAUAAACUCUGCUGCAAGGAGUCGAGCCACCUCCUUGCCAAUGGCUUUUCCCUUCUGAACGACGGACCGUUGAAGAUGUUCUUCGACAGGUUUUGCUUUUGAGUCGACUCUAAGGCGAUGCUCAGCCAGCCCCCUGGGAACACCCGGCAUGUCAGCAGGCUUCCAUGCAAAGAUGUCCCAGUUCUCACGGAGGAACUGGAUGAGCGCUUCUUCCUAUUUAGAGUUGAGUGUUGUGGAAAUAUGGGUCGAAGCUGCGCUGGGGUCAGUCGGGUGAAUAUGAACGGGCUUCGUCUCACCAGACGACUGGAACGCUGACUCUGUGGCGGGCUUCUUGGACCGCAACAAAUCACUUGGAUCUGCAUUUUUCUUGUAUCCCUCCAGCUCUACCACUGUUAUCUGGGCAUCCGCAAUCUUCGAGCCUUUCUGAAAACACUCUUCUGCCUUCUUCUGGUUGCCAGUGAUAGUGAUCACACCUUUGGGGCCAGGCAUCUUUAAUUUGAGGUACACAUAACAUGGUCGAGCCAUGAACCGUGCAUAAGCUGGUCUCCCCAAAAUAGCAUGGUAAGCGCUCUGGAAAUCCACGACUUCAAAUGUCAGCUUCUCUUUGCGGAAAUGUUUCGAGUCGCCGAACACCACAUCUAGAGCUAUUUGGCCGAGUGACUCAGCCUUCUUUCUAGGAAUGACUCCAUGAAAACUCAUGUUGCUGUAGCUGAGUCUGGACAUCGGAAUGCCCAUUCCCUUUAGCGUCUCCGCAUACAAUAUAUUCAGCCCACUUCCACCAUCCAUCAGCACCUUCGUCAAUCGAGUGCCUUCGACGACUGGGUCGACCACCAAAGCUUGCCUCCCAGGGGUGGCUAUGUGAGUCGGGUGAUCGGACUGGUCGAACAUAAUGGGAGUUUGAGACCAUCUCAGAUAGCUUGGUGUCGCCGGGGCGACCAUAUUUACCUCAUAGUUGAUAACUUUCAAUCGACUUUUGCUCUCCACAUCAGCAAAAAUCAUCAGGGUGGAAUUGACAUGAGGAUAUCCUCCAUCACUGUCCUCCUUGUCCUCAGCCUUGUCCGACUCCUUUUCUUUGUCCUUGGGCUGUUUUCCUUGAAACUACUGGAUUAAGAGCCGGCACUGGCGAGUGGUAUGUUUCAGGUAGAUGAAGUUACCCUCUUCGUCUUUCUUUGUGUGGAUGUGACACGGCAGAUCCAUCACGUCAUUUCCUUCCUUAUCCUUCACCUUCUUGGGGUUCCAAGAUCCUUUGGGCUUCCCUUUGAAUUUUCCCUGAGUCACGGCCAGAGCCUCUCCAGGAGCAGCUGGCUCGGCUUUCCGCUUCUGUUUCCGAUUGGAGUUUCCUUUUUCCGACUGACUCAGCUUAUACUUGCCACUCCGGAGUCUGUCCUCUUCUUCACCGUUAGCGUAUUUGGUGGCAAUCUCCAUCAUUCGACUCAGGGUCAUAUCCCCGGUUCGACCAAACUUCAGACUUAACUCUCUGUUCUUGACACCAUCCUUGAAGGCACAGACCGCUUGAUGAUCAGACACAUUCUCCACGGUAAGAUGCAAAGUGAUCCAUCUCUGGAUGUAAUCUCUCAGGGUUUCAUUCGAAUUUUGCACGCAGACUUGCAGCUCUGUCAAUCCGGCCGGUCGCUUGCAAGUUCCCUCGAACGUCCUGACGAACACUCGGGAAAGAUCUUCCCAAGUGUAAAUGCUGCUAGGAGCUAACUGAUUCAACCACGCCCUGGCCGAACCCUCUAACAUGAGUGGUAAAUGCUUCAUGGCCACCUCAUCAUUACCGCCGCCAAUCUAUACCGCCACUCGGUAGUCUUCAAGCCAGGUUUCAGGCUUGGACUCACCGGUGAACUUACUUACCCCAGUCGCCAACCUGAAGUUGGGGGUAUCACUGCGGCUCUGAUGGCUCUGCUAAAACAUUCUGGACCUGAAACAUGGACUCGGCUGCUAGUGGGCGCAUCUCUGUCAUGGCCACCUUGAUGAGCUCUGUUCCGAUCGACCAAACCUUGCACGAUGAUGGAUCUCGCGUCAAAGCCUGGUUCCCUGGGGUCGACCGGAGCUCUUCGCCCAACACUGAGCUGGCGACUGUCAUCUUGCUGCCGAUGGGUGUAAGACCCACCCCUUGGGGGGAGUAGGCACUCGACACCUAUCAUCACGAUCAAAUCGGUCAUCAUACUGGUCACGCCGACCUUCACGUCCCUCGCGCCACGGAGGCGAUCUUGGGCUAUGAGCCGACUGAACUGUAUUCGCAGCGACAGAUCGAUUGUGAAUCCUGUUACGCGACUGUGACACAACUGAAUUCUGAUCUCCUGCGGCUCGGAGCAAAUCCCUGAUCUGCAUCAAGCCUCUGCCAGCCUCCGACUGAGAGGGCUGAAUUGACUCUGCUAUACGGGACGCAGCUGCUAAAUUCUGAAUCGGGGUUCGAUAUACCUGAGUUGGUUGCGGAAAGAGUUGACGUCGACUGGAGUCGGGUACUCGUUGCCGCGCACGCUCGUCGAGUGCUCGCUUGAGGUUCUCCAGUCGAGUACGUUCAGCCAAGUUGGCCAAACGCGCCUCUUCCAAGGCACGAGCCUCGGGAGUUUCUCCUGCGAUGGGAGUAUGCAGGGCAUCCAUGUUCCGGUGGCGAAGAUCUUCCCUUUGCUGAGAAGUGAGUGGCUCGGGUUGAUAUUCCUCGUGGGCCUGAGCGGGGUCGCCUCCACCGUCUAUCCCGUCGGUGCGGGGGAAGCCGGGAGGGCUACGAGGCCCAUUGACCAUCAGGACCUCCGCCGCUGGAUCACUGUUGUCGCACUCGGAUGCAGUCUCUAUGGAGCCAGUCGACAGAUCGAACAGGCCGUAGAGAGAUUCGUCAGGCUCAAUUGCCGCGACUUGGGUGGUGGCCGAUUGGCGAGCUACUACGUGUCUCACCCACCGCUGAAGCCUCGACCGACCAGAGCGCUUGCGCUGGUGGGAGACAGGGAGGGAGAACAGCACAGGAGUCGACCGAUAUGGAGUCGACGGUUGCCGCAGCAGGACGCCACGGACACACGCCCGAAAAUGCGUUGCACCGUGGACGAGGAGCGCGUCGAUGUCGAGUGGAGCCUCCUGAAGCCAAGCGGAGUCGUCGGCAAUGAAAGUGAGCGCACCGAGACGGAUCUCGCGGCCCUCGACCAGAACUCCGCCAGAAACCAUGAUGAAGGCAAUCGGAAAAAUUGCAACUUCUCCAAAAAGUCGCUAAGACACCGGCCCCAAGGUGGGCGCCAACUGUCGUGGUUCUGAGUCUGACAGUAGAAUGGGGGGUAGGUAUGGCGAGGCAAGAUCCUAGCUAUGGAGUAGUUGUAUACGCAAGGGAUUUACGAGUUCAGGCCCUUCUCAGAGGAAGUAACAGCCCUACGUCUCGGAGCCCGGAGGCGGUCGACUGGAUUAUGUGCGUAUGACUUACAGGGGUGCGAACCCUUUACACUAAGGAGGGGGGUGGCUUAUAUAGUGUCUGCCAGACCCCUCCGGUCCUCAGUUAUGCGGGGUUUAAAGUACAUAAAGGAUUGGCGUUACUGGUAACGCCCUACAUAAAGUGUCAUCAUGGUAAUAAAGACUACUUAAUUAUAGACUGUUUGGAUACAGAGCGACUCUUAAUCUCCUGGUGGUCGAGUGAGUCUUCGUGGUCGAAUGCCUUCGAGUCCGUCGAGUGGAAUUCCUCUUGGUCGACUGGAACGUUGUUUCUUCUGAAGAUGUCCUUGGGGAGGGUCCUCUGGACAGGCUCAUGACCCUACCCUAGGUACAUGACUUCAUCAAUGCCCAGCCUCGAAAGAUCAACACGUCGUAGCCCCACCUAGGCCUAACAGAGAGGUCAGCACUCCGGUCUAACUCCUAUGGCGCAGGGGUCUGGGCCCAUCGCCCAUUGCACACCUGCACGUUGCCUGGGCGGCUGAAAGAAGAACUAGCCCCCUUAAUACAAGAGCAGGCUUACGUUCCAAUCCGGCGCGCGCCGCUCAAUUGCUGACGUCUAGAAGGCUUUGACUGAUACCACGACGUCGAGUGCCCAUAUCUUUCCCACGUAGUAGGUUAGUGCGUAUAGACCAAAUGGCCAGACUCAGAUCAAAUACCAAGAUCUCGUUAAGCGUCUUAAUUUAUGUAACCGCGGACACCGACCAGGGCCAGGCCCACCUCUCACCUAGGCGGUCUCAACCUGCCCUGUCGCUCCGCCACAAAGAUCCACACAGAGGGCCGUCGGGACAAAGGUCCUUUCAGCCCCCAAUCCGUGAAUCACUCGCGGGCACUCAACGAGCCGACCCGACUUUAGUCACCAUCUGUAUAGUAUGUAUAUAUGUAUAGAAUAUACCCGUGAUCACCUCCCGAGUGAUCACGGCCCAAUAGUAUAGCAAGGCAGACAGACAAGAAUGUGGGCCAAUGAUGAUAAACUAGCAUCCUAUACUAAGCAUUUAGGAUUGCGGGUAAGGUAUCAAUGACUGUAGCAACAAUGACAGGCUAUGCAAUAGAAUUGAACAUAUAAAGGUCAAGGCAUACGCUAGGCAGAAUGAAGGCAUCCACAUCACCCUAUGAAAUAGUGCGAGCGAGCGAGCGCUGCGUGUAGCGAGGCGAGCGAGCGAGAGCAGCGGGCAGCGAGCAGAAUAGGAGAAUUGAACAUAUAAAGGUCAAGGCAUACGCUAGGUAGAAUGAAGGCAUCCACGUCGCCCUAUGAAAUAGUGCGAGUGAGCAAGCACUGCGUGUAGCGAGGCGAUCGAGCGAGAGCAGCGGGCAGCGAGCAGAAUAGGAGAAUUGAACAUAUAAAGGUCAAGGCAUACGCUAGGCAGAAUGAAGGCAUCCAUGUCGCCCUAUGAAAUAGUGCGAGCGAGCGAGCGUUGCAUGUAGCGAGGCGAGCGAGCGAGAGCAGCGGGCAGCGAGCAGAAUAGGAGAAGUCAGGGAGAAAAAAAAGGAAAAAACCUAGCCCAGAUCCAACGCCCCUCACUCCUUCCUCCUCCCUCCCUCAUCCGCCGCCAUGCUCCCUCCCACCUCCUCCCAAGGAGCCCCGCCGCCCACCGGCGACCUCCCAGCCCUGUUCUCCGCCUCGUCGCCCUGUCCACCUUGAGCUCGAGCCGAGAAGCGGCCCGUGUCGCGUGGUGUCCCCGAUGCGCAAGCCGAGGAGCGGCCUGUGUCAUGUGGUGGCCCAGAUGCGGCCGCCCCAUGCUCAGGCGCGGUGCUGGUGAACAAGAGCAGCAGCGGCCGCAGCAGGAAGCGGUGGUCCGUGCCGUCGCCGUCAUCUUCGUCCUCAGGCAGAAGGUCAAGCCAAGAUGUGGUAACCCUAUCAUCCCCUUCCCCCGUUCUCAUUCUUUUUAUUUAAUCCCCAAAAAUCUCAUCUUUGUUUGUUCUAUGCCUACAAGGUGUUCGAUAAAAGCAAAAUGGCGGAUAUAUCACUUCUCUCCUCGCCGGUCAGAAGGAGCAGCAAUUGAACAUAUAAAGGUCAAGGCAUACGCUAGGCAGAAUGAAGGCAUCCAUGUCGCCCUAUGAAAUAGUGCGAGCGAGCGAGCGCUGCGUGUAGCGAGGCGAGCGAGUGAGAGCAGCGGGCAUCGAGCAGAAUAGGAGAAGUCAGGGAGAAAAAAAAAGGAAAAAACCUAGCCCAGAUCCAACGCCCCUCACUCCUUCCUCCUCCCUCCCUCAUCCGCCGCCAUGCUCCCUCCCGCCUCCUCCCAAGGAGCCCCGCCGCCCACCGGCGACCUCCCAGCCCUGUUCUCCGCCUCGUCGCCCUGUCCACCUUGAGCUCGAGCCGAGAAGCAGCCCGUGUCGCGUGGUGUCCCAGAUGCGCGAGCCGAGGAGCGGCCUGUGUCAUGUGGUGGCCCAGAUGCGGCCGCCCCAUGCUCAGGCGCGGUGCUGGUGAACACGAGAAGCAGCGGCCGCAGCAGGAAGCGGUGGUCCGUGCCGUCGCCGUCAUCAUCGUCCUCAGGCAGAAGGUCAAGCCAAGAUGUGGUAACCCUCUCAUCCCCUUCCCCCGUUCUCAUUCUUUUGAUUUAAUGCCCAAAAAUCUCAUCUUUGUUUGUUCUAUGCCUACAAGGUGUUCGAUAAAAGCAAAAUGGCGGAUAUAUCACUUCUCUCCUCGCCGGUCAGAAGGAACAGCAAUUGAACAUAUAAAGGUCAAGGCAUACGCUAGGCAGAAUGAAGGCAUCCACGUCACCCUAUGAAAUAGUGCGAGCGAGCGAGCGCUGCGUGUAGCGAGGCGAGCGAGCGAGAGCAGCGGGCAGCGAGCAGAAUAGGAGAAGUCAGGGAGAAUAAAAAGGAAAAAACCUAGCCCAGAUCCCAAGCCCCUCACUCCUUCCUCCUCCCUCCCUCAUCCACUGCCAUGCUCCCUCCCACCUCCUCCAAAGGAGCCCCGCCACCCACCGGCGACCUUCCAGCCCUGUUCUCCGCCUCGUCGCCCUGUCCACCUUGAGCUCGAGCCGAGAAGCGGCCCGUGUCGCGUGGUGUCCCAGAUGCGCGAGCCGAGGAGCGGCCUGUGUCAUGUGGUGGCCCAGAUGCGGUCGCCCCAUGCUCAGGCGCGGUGCUGGUGAACACGAGCAGCAGCGGCCGCAGCAGGAAGCGGUGGUCCGUGUCGUCGUCGUCAUCAUCGUCCUCAGGCAGAAGGUCAAGCCAAGAUGUGGUAACCCUCUCAUCCCCUUCCCCCGUUCUCAUUCUUUUGAUUUAAUCCCCAAAAAUCUCAUCUUUGUUUGUUCUAUGCCUACAUGGUGUUCGAAGCAAAAUGGCGGAUAUAUCACUUCUCUCCUCGCGGGUCAAAAGGAGCGGCAAUUGAACAUAUAAAGGUCAAAGCAUACGCUAGGCAGAAUGAAGGCAUCCACGUCGCCCUAUGAAAUAGUGCGAGCGAGCGAGCGCUGCGUGUAGCGAGGCGAGCGAGCGAGAGCAGCGGGCAGUGAGCAGAAUAGGAGAAGUCAGGGAGAAAAAAAGGAAAAAACCUACCCCAGAUCCCACGCCCCUCACUCCUUCCUCCUCCCUCCCUCAUCCACCGCCAUGCUCCCCCCCACCUCCUCCCAAGGAGCCCCGCCGCCCACCGGCGACCUCCUAGCCCUGUUCUCCGCCUCGUCGCCCUGUCCACCUUGAGCUCGAGCCGAGAAGCGGCCCGUGUCGCGUGGUGUCCCCGAUGCGCGAGCCGAGGAGCGGCCUGUGUCAUGUGGUGGCCCAGAUGCGGCCGCCCCAUGCUCAGGCGCGGUGCUGGUGAACACGAGCAGCAGCGGCCGCAGCAGGAAGCGGUGGUCCGUGCCGUCGCCGUCAUCAUCGUCCUCAGGCAGAAGGUCAAGCCAAGAUGUGGUAACCCUCUCAUCCCCUUUCCCCGUUCUCAUUCUUUUGAUUUAAUCCCCAAAAAUCUCAUCUUUGUUUGUUCUAUGCCUACAAGGUGUUCGAUAAAAGCAAAAUGGCGGAUAUAUCACUUCUCUCCUCGCCGGUCAGAAGGAGCAGCAAUUGAACAUAUAAAGGUCAAGGCAUACGCUAGGCAGAAUGAAGGCAUCCACGUCGCCCUAUGAAAUAGUGCGAGCGAGCGAGCGCUGCGUGUAGCGAGGCAAGCAAGCGAGAGCAACGGGCAGCGAGCAGAAUAGGAGAAGUCAGGGAGAAAAAAAGGGGAAAACCUAGCCCAGAUCCCACGCCCCUCACUCCUUCCUCCUCCCUCCCUCAUCUGCCGCCAUGCUCCCUCCCACCUCCUCCCAAGGAGCCCCGCCGCCCACCGGCGACCUCACAGCCCUGUUCUCUGCCUCGUCGCCCUGUCCACCUUGAGCUCGAGCCGAGAAGCGGCCCGUGUCGCAUGGUGUCCCAGAUGCGCGAGCCGAGGAGCGGCCUGUGUCAUGUGGUGGCCCAGAUGCGGCCGCCCCAUGCUCAGGCGCGAUGCUGGUGAACACGAGAAGCAGCGGCCGCAGCAGGAAGCGGUGGUCCGUGCCGUCGCCGUCAUCAUCAUCCUCAGGCAGAAGGUCAAUCCAAGAUGUGGUAACCCUCUCAUCCCCUUCCCCCGUUCUCAUUCUUUUUAUUUAAUCCCCAAAAAUCUCAUCUUUGUUUGUUCUAUGCCUACAAGGUGUUCGAUAAAAGCAAAAUGGCGGAUAUAUCACUUCUCUCCUCGCCGGUCAGAAGGAGCAGCAAUUGAACAUAUAAAGGUCAAGGCAUACUCUAGGCAGAAUGAAGGCAUCCACGUCGCCCUAUGAAAUAGUGCGAACGAGCGAGCGCUGCGUGUAGCGAGGCGAGCGAGCGAGAGCAGCGGGCAGCGAGCAGAAUAGGAGAAGUCAGGGAGAAUAAAAAAGGAAAAAACCUAGCCCAGAUCCCAAGCCCCUCACUCCUUCCUCCUCCCUCCCUCAUCCGCCGCCAUGCUCCCUCCCACCUCCUCCCAAGGAGCCCCGCCGCCCACCGGCGACCUCCCAGCCCUGUUCUCCGCCUCGUCGCCCUGUCCACCUUGAGCUCGAACCGAGAAGCGGCCCGUGUCGCGCGGUGUCCCAGAUGCGCGAGCCGAGGAGCGGCCUGUGUCCUGUGGUGGCCCAGAUGCGGUCGCCCCAUGCUCAGGCACGGUGCUGGUGAACACGAGCAGCAGCGGCCGCAGCAGGAAGCGGUGGUCCGUGCCGUCGCCGUCAUCAUCGUCCUCAGGCAGAAGGUCAAGCCAAGAUGUGGUAACCCUCUCAUCCCCUUCCCCCGUUCUCAUUCUUUUGAUUUAAUCCCCAAAAAUCUCAUCUUUGUUUGUUCUAUGCCUACAAGGUGUUCGAUAAAAGCAAAAUGGCGGAUAUAUCACUUCUCUCCUCGCCGGUCAGAAGGAGCAGCAAUUGAACAUAUAAAGGUCAAGGCAUACGCUAGGCAGAAUGAAGGCAUCCACGUCGCCCUAUGCAAUAGUGCGAGCGAGCGAGCGCUGCGUGUAGCGAGGCGAGCGAGCGAGAGCAGCGGGCAGCAAGCAGAAUAGGAGAAGUCAGGGAGAAAAAAAGGAAAAACCUACCCCAGAUCCCACGCCCCUCACUCCUUCCUCCUCCCUCCCUCAUCUGCCGCCAUGCUCCCUCCCACCUCCUCCCAAGGAGCCCCGCCGCCCACCGGCGACCUCCUAGCCCUGUUCUCCGCCUCGUCGCCCUGUCCACCUUGAGCUCAAGCCGAGAAGCGGCCCGUGUCGCGUAGUGUCCCAGAUGCGCGAGCCGAGGAGCGGCCUGUGUCAUGUGGUGGCCCAGAUGCGGCCGCCCCAUGCUCAGGCGCGGUGCUGGUGAACACGAGAAGCAGUGGCCGCAUCAGGAAGCGGUGGUCCGUGCCGUCGCCGUCAUCAUCGUCCUCAGGUAGAAGGUCAAGCCAAGAUGUGGUAACCCUCUCAUCCCCUUUCCCCGUUCUCAUUCUUUUGAUUUAAUCCCCAAAAAUCUCAUCUUUUUUUGUUCUAUGCCUACAAGGUGUUUGAGAAAAGCAAAAUGGCAGACAUAUCACUUCUCUCCUCGCCGGUCAGAAGGAGCAGCAAUUGAACAUAUAAAGGUCAAGGCAUACGCUAGGCAGAAUGAAGGCAUCCACGUCGCCCUAUGAAAUAGUGCGAGCGAGCGAGCGCUGCGUGUAGCGAGGCGAGCAAGCGAGAGCAGCGGUCAGCGAGCAGAAUAGGAGAAGUCAGGGAGAAAAAAAAAGGAAAAAACAUAGCCCAGAUCCCACGCCCCUCACUCCUUCCUUCUCCCUCCCUCAUCCGCCGCCAUGCUCCCUCCCAACUCCUCCCAAGGAGCCCCGCCGCCCACCGGCGACCUCCCAGCCCUGUUCUCCGCCUCGUCGCCCUGUCCACCUUGAGCUCGAGCCGAGAAGCGGCCCGUGUCGCGUGGUGUCCCAGAUGCGCGAGCCGAGAAGCGGCCCGUGUCGCGUGGUGUCCCAGAUGCGCGAGCCGAGAAGCGGCCCGUGUCGCGUGGUGUCCCAGAUGCGCGAGCCGAGGAGCGGCCUGUGUCAUGUGGUGGCCCAGAUGCGGCCGCCCCAUGCUCAGGCGCGGUGCUGGUGAACACGAGAAGCAGCGGCCGCAGCAGGAAGCGGUGGUCCGUGCCGUCGCCGUCAUCAUCGUCCUCAGGCAGAAGGUCAAGCCAAGAUGUGGUAACCCUCUCAUCCCCUUCCCCGUUCUCAUUCUUUUGAUUUAAUCCCCAAAAAUCUCAUCUUUGUUUGUUUUAUGCCUACAAGGUGUUCGAUAAAAGCAAAAUGGCGGAUAUAUCACUUCUCUCCUCGCCGGUCAGAAGGAGCAGCAAUUGAACAUAUAAAGGUCAAGGCAUACGCUAGGCAGAAUGAAGGCAUCCACGUCGCCCUAUGAAAUAGUGCGAGCGAGCGAGCGCUGCGUGUAGCGAGGCGAGCAAGCGAGAGCAGCGGGCAGCGAGCAGAAUAGGAGAAGUCAGGGAGAAAAAAAAGGAAAAAACCUAGCCCAGAUCCCACGCCCCUCACUCCUUCCUCCUCCCUCCCUCAUCCGCCGCCAUGCUCCCUCCCACCUCCUCCCAAGGAGCCCCGCCGUCCACCGGCGACCUCCCAGCCCUGUUCUCCGCCUCGUCGCCCUGUCCACCUUGAGCUCGAGCCGAGAAGCGGCCCGUGUCGCGUGGUGUCCCAGAUGCGCGAGCCGAGGAGCGGCCUGUGUCAUGUGGUGGCCCAGAUGCGGCCGCCCCAUGCUCAGGCGCGGUGCUGGUGAACACGAGCAGCAGCGGCCGCAGCAGGAAGCGGUGGUCCGUGCCGUCGCCGUCGCCGUCAUCAUCGUCCUCAGGCAGAAGGUCAAGCCAAGAUGUGGUAACCCUCUCAUCCCCUUCCCCCGUUCUCAAUCUUUUGAUUUAAUCCCCAAAAAUCUCAUCUUUGUUUGUUCUAUGCCUACAAGGUGUUCGAUAAAAGCAAAAUGGCGGAUAUAUCACUUCUCUCCUCGCCGGUCAGAAGGAGCAGCAAGACGGGAGCUGAGGAGAGCCGGAGUCGGGGACAAGAAGCAGUGGGGACCGGGCUCCCGCAAGGAGUGGGGCUGCAGGGAGAGGAAGGAAGCCAUUGACAGAAGAAAAGAAGAUGUCAGCUCUGGUGCAUCAUGGAGAACACAGCUGCUCGCCCUCCUCCGCCUCUUCUUCCCUAACCAUGGAUUCGUUGUACGUCUCAUGUUCUCUAUCCAACAUCUACUAAGCUGCUACCUUGAACUUGUGAAAAAGUAUACAUAGAAAGUGUAGUAGUAACUAGAAUAUCUGUCAUUAGCUUGUCAAGCUUACACAAGAUAAACUGUAUGCUUGAAUUGAGGUUCAGAAAAUUCAGGCUUGGGUGAAUUUGGCAUGGGUAAUUGAUAUACGUGAUUGGUUCGUUUAUGUUGCAAACAUUGCCAGUUUAGGAAAUGUAUGAAAAAAAUCAGGCUGUGUAAAAAAUGAGUUAAUUCUUGACAGUAUUUUUUGCAAGGUUAUGUGCAUAUCCUGUUCGCAAAAAUGUUGAAUUAUAGGUACAGUAAUAUGUGUCGUCAUGAGUGCUGAAUGUACCACAUUAUUUUUCUGUCAAAUAAGUGAUGGUGCAAGCGUAGACAGUCAUGAAGAUUUUAAUCUACAAAUGGGACUGACUACCUGGGCUUAAUGUCAUUGAUCUGCAGAGUGCAGAUUGGGGCUGCUGCACUAGGCAGAGCACCAUGCCCUGAUAGGAUUUCAGCACCGAAAAAACAAUCAGGCAAUUCAGGGUUUUCUGAACCUGCGAUGCUCUGUGAACCCGCGAUGCUCUGUUUUUAUGUACCAAGUAAUUGUGAACAAACACUUUUAUGUUAAUUAAGGGUUAGAAAUUGUGCUUUUUGGUAACGACAGCAGUGGAUGCAGUUAUUGCAGUAGUGGGUCGGUAUGAGCAGCUAUCUCCUACCCUUGCUUUGAUCUUGUCUGGUGGGCCAUUCUAUGCACAGAAGUUUGUGCUUCACGGACGGCGAGGGUCGGAGCCGUGGCUCGACAUUUUGCUGCCGGCCUGCUUGUGGCGGAGCAUGGCGGUAGUCGGGGCGGCGUUCUGCUCUACAGGAGAAGCACGGGCUGGCAGUUGCAGCUGAGCUUCUAUGUAACAUAGCUCCGAUGAAUCCUGCCGCAUCUGGCCUCUGCAGGUACCCGGCCCACACCUCUUCANNNNNNNNNNNNNNNNNNNNNNNNNNNNNNNNNNNNNNNNNNNNNNNNNNNNNNNNNNNNNNNNNNNNNNNNNNNNNNNNNNNNNNNNNNNNNNNNNNNNNNNNNNNNNNNNNNNNNNNNNNNNNNNNNNNNNNNNNNNNNNNNNNNNNNNNNNNNNNNNNNNNNNNNNNNNNNNNNNNNNNNNNNNNNNNNNNNNNNNNNNNNNNNNNNNNNNNNNNNNNNNNNNNNNNNNNNCUCCUCUGAUUUGCUUUCUCCCCUCUCCAACAGAAUAUCUCAUCCCUGUUUGUGUAGAUUCGUUUUUGUAUCUACCUAUAAGGCAUUCAAUGAAAACCCAAGCUGCUGCAGUGGCAGAUUACACUCCGAUUGCAUGCUGAGCCUUGUUGAUUGCUUCUCUUUUGGCCCCUUUUCAUUUGCUUGCUCUAUGAUUCGUUGUUGUAAAAGAAUUGCACUUGUUUUUGUGUUGGCCUCUCCUGUUCUUUUUUUGUUGGCUUGACGUACGCACUGGGAGCCUCCUACGUGAGGGAUUCAGCAUGCCUCUAUUUGAGAGAAUAAUAUGGAGGCGAAUUUUCAGGUAUGCUCUAUCGUUUGGAGCAAUGCCAGUUUGGUUUGGUUCGCAUUUUCCUUAUAGGUUGAUGUUGUAUGUAAGACUGUAAGUACCAGCCAGAACUGCCAUUAUAUAUUUGUUAAGCUAGGAGGCUGCACCAGUCUUAAAUUUAAAUAGGCUUGCUGUCACUUUAUUUUGGUCAACGUUUUUGGUCCUGAACAUGUUGUGUUUUGAUUUAUGAGGAGGACUAAAACACAUAGUUUUCCCUCAGACUUGUGGUCCAUGAGAGUGGUUAGGUAUUAACCUUUGGAUAAAUUAUGGGCAUGGUUAGUUCGGGUGAUAUAUAUUGAUUAAAGCAUACUGCUGCUUCCGUAAACAACAACCUGUUGAAAGUAUUGUUGGGUCAGAUUUAAGCUUCCAGCUACUGUGAUUUUAUCAUAUACAACACUUUCAGAUCAGUAAAUACAAUAGCCUCCCUUUUCUGUUAAAUAAUCAGGAUUGUUCUCAUACCAUUUGCUCUCCACAUUUUUAAUCCCACAGAAAAGUGCAUCCUUUUGUUUUUUAUUUACUAAAAGUACAUCGAUUGUCAAUGCAAAACCAUGCCGUUGUUCUCAAGUUGAAGCUAAUACUCGAUGACCAAUAAUGUUAUGAGAAUAGUUCUGCAAAGAUUUAUGGCAGAACAAGCAUUUAAAAAACAAGUGAACUUUGUUACUACUUUCGACACUGUAAACAUGCAUUGUAGUCAUCUCAGUCCGGCUUGGCCACGUAGGCCCCUCGUUGUAAACCUAGCUUGGAUAUUUUGACCAUUUCUUCCAAUUAGUAGCCUUCUCUUCUCUGUGCAGAGAAGAAGGACGAUGACAAUGGAAACCUUUGGGUUUAUAGAGGCUUGUACCUAAUAGUAUCAAAGUAAUCGAUCCUCUUAUUUGCAUUUUCACACAGAAGAAAAUAAGUACACAUUAUGGUAAUCAUUGAUUCCGAACCUUCCAGGUAACAAGCUGAUGCGAAUCCAACGAAACCUGCAGCUUACCCAACAAGAAUCGAUUUCUUUGUCAUGCUUAGGUUUCAGUAUUAUUUACAUGCUGUGUAAAUACGACAUUACUAAGAGGGGCCAGAGAGCGUGUUCUCUUACUCCAUGAGCACCACUUGAACCGAAGUAUUUUUACAUCCUAAAUUAUGGGAAAAGGACAACACUGUAGAUUGUCUUGAAUGGCCCACUUUUUAUUAUAUGGUGUGCUAGCUGCUCUUAAUCAAACCAUUCUUAUAUUUUAGCUAAUUUCAACAGUCAACAUUUAGAUAAUACAUUGGAUUCAACACAGUUUUAGCUGUUCACAUCUUGAUCCAUGUUGAAGCAGAUCAGUCAGGUAUACAACACUUUUGUUGCGUUUUAAUUGGUGUUGAUUUUUGUAUCUUGCAACCAAACAAGAGUCGUGGACUCCAUGGACCAUGUAUGUAUGAGGUGAUUACAUCUUCUGCAUGCAUUUUCAAGAUACUAACAGAAAGGCACUAAUUUUUUUCUUGUGUUCUUUAUUUGUGCUACUUCAUGGCAUUUGUAGAAUCCCAGUCCUGGUGUGUGCAUUCACAUAAUUAGUGAUCGAAUAAAUGUAUAUACUUAAGGAGCUAAUGGUACAAAUGUAUAUUGAACAUAUAAACCCCGGUGGGCAACCCGCUGUUCUGGAGGCCCUCCCGUGUGCAACGCUAGCUGGCCAUUCUAUAAACUGGAUGCAGGGUUAGUUUACCUUUUAGACUCUGAGUUAGAUUAGCCGCACUUGUGUAUACGUUUGAUAGAUGAGCUGUGUCAGGUUGUAGGUACUGCUGAGCACAAAGCUAUAGUUGGAUAUAAUAUUGGAUUUACAAUCAUUUUAUGCAAAAGAGUUCCAGUAUAUUUCAAAUUUUGUUUCAUAGAGAAGCUCCAUCAUUGGAACCAGUAUAUGUCUGCUGAUAAAACCCUUUUGUAUGAUCAUGGUUUUUAGGGAUUGAUAUUCCAAUCAAUCUGCUGAUGCGGUAUUUGUGGGAGAUGAAGAGUACCGACGGGUUCAAGCUAGGGGCCGUCUUUCUCGAGCUACAUUCAUGCUUCACAGCAGUUCACCUUCCCACAAUUGCUCAGGCUGCACAUCUGCUAGCUCAUGUGAGUAUGAAUGCCUUGUAUCUUGCAGUUCUUUCUAACGAGUAUUAGUGCAGAUUCCAAAGUAGGACUAACUUCUGCUUGUUUUCUAAUCUAUUCAUUCUACCUCAAGGUGAACCAAUCUAUCCCACGAGAGCCUUGUAUUCUGCGUGUUGAUCUAAAUGUAUUGGAAAAAUGGUCUGGUUGCGGAACAUUUGGUACACAAUUUUUUAUUCAAGAUGGAACAAGUUUGUUAUCGAUAUUCUUGUAAAUGGUUUAUAUAGUUUGUUUUGUUAUUAAGAAAACAUAUGGUUGUAUGUUUUUCGUAUUUCAGAGGAAUAUCGAUACAAAAUAGAUAAGUCUUUUUCUUUUUCAUUUCCUGAUAUACCAUUUAACUUCACCAAAUAGAACAAAGAUGGCUACGAAAGAAGAGCAUGUAUAAUUGAAAUACUUGUGUGAUGUCUACACUGUUGGCCGCAUGUAUCCACUAUUCAUCUCAAUCCAGUAGACACAGUUUUGUUAUUAUGUGCUGAUAUGCUCUGCAAUUUAGUAACAAUAAUCUUGCGUAAUGCAGACUAACAUGGCCAGAUGGUAUACUACAUUGGGUUUUCCCUGUCGGUUAAGAUUUCCAUGUGUUCCAAUCUGCCUCUAAAUAUAUUUAUGUUCACUCUUUCAAUACUUGCCUCGCUCUCGUCCCUUGCGCCAUCGGCGCAACGGGUCAUCUAGUAGGAGUAGCCGAACAGUAACAUGCUACACUUCUCUAAUGCAAGCAGUANNNNNNNNNNNNNNNNNNNNNNNNNNNNNNNNNNNNNNNNNNNNNNNNNNNNNNNNNNNNNNNNNNNNNNNNNNNNNNNNNNNNNNNNNNNNNNNNNNNNNNNNNNNNNNNNNNNNNNNNNNNNNNNNNNNNNNNNNNNNNNNNNNNNNNNNNNNNNNNNNNNNNNNNNNNNNNNNNNNNNNNNNNNNNNNNNNNNNNNNNNNNNNNNNNNNNNNNNNNNNNNNNNNNNNNNNNNNNNNNNNNNNNNNNGGGGUCGUCAACUCCGUAGGCGAACUGGGUAGCAGCAGCGUCGGUCUCGUAGUCUGUCGGAGAGAAGAGGAGGAAGAAACAAUUAAUACAAUGCAAACAGGUGCAUAAUGAUGCAUGACAUAACAAGCAACGGUGCCAAGUGUGCCCUAACGCAGUAGGAGGUGAUACCAGUGAAGGGGGGAAACAUUCGGGAAAGUAUCCCCGGUGUUUCGCGUUUUCGGACAGAUGAAAUGGAGGGGGAAAGUUGCGUGUUUGCUAUGCUAGGGAUGUGUGGCGGUCGAACGGGCUACGUAUCUGGAUUUGUCUCGUCGUUCUGAGCAACUUUCAUGUAGAAAGUUUUCCCAUCUGAGCUACGGUUUAUUUUAUAUUCAAUAUUAAAGUUUUAAAUCAUUUUCUAAAUUAUUAUUAUUAAAUUAAUUCGAAAUUAGCAUUACUGCAUCAGCAUGACAUCAACAGUCAACAGAGGUGUUGACUGGGUCAAACUGACAUGUGGGUCCCGCAGGUCAUACUAUGUUGAUUCUAAUUAGGAUUUAACAAAUCUAAUUACUGUUUAAUUAAUUAACAAUAGUUAAUUAGGUUAACUAAAUAGGAUUAAUUUAGUUAAUUAAUUAAUUAAAUUUUAUUAGUAUAUUUUUUUAAUCCUUUUUUUAUAUAAAACCGUUCUGGGAGGUGGGGCCCCAUUGUCAAUGGCCCAAAGGGGCCAAACGGGCGCUGUCAAACGGGUGCGGGCACCAGCCCGCUUGGUUGCUGGGACGUGAGGGGGCCCACUGGGCAGUGACCCAGACCCCUUGCCCAGUGGGAAGUCAUGAGGCUAGAGGCCAUAGCGGGCACGGGCGCAGCCCGAUGUAGCACAGCGGCGCCCGACCGCUGACUCAAGCGCGGCCAACGGGGAGGGAAGGCACGGCGAACCAGGGUGCGCGCGCGCUGGCCCGUGGGCACUAGCCCAGGCCAGCCACGACGAGGCUCGUCGGCCGGAGCAGCAACGGGCAGUGGCAGCGGUGGAGCGGGUGGAGUACGACGGCCGCAAGAACGAGCGGAGGAGACGCGUCCGAGGCAGGCGCAGGUGGCUGCGAUGGCCGACGAGGGGGUGGGUCUCAAGCGCCCCGGCUGUGCGGGGUGUCGGCGGCCAAGGGCGCGGCCGAGGGCGGGGACCAGACUGACGAGCGGGAGGCACAGGGCAGCAGGGGGCUUCGGCAGCGGCCGUAGCCAGUGACGGCGAGCGCUGGGACUGCCAGGAGGCGGGGGGAGGCGUCGGGCACGGUGUUCGGGGCGCGGCUCGGCGCGCGUAUGGGGCGGAGUGCGUGUGCAUGCCGUGGACGACGCCGGUGACAGAGGGAAGGAAGGGAGCUCACGAGGGGGGCUGUAGGGACGGGGCGGCAGGGGUUGAGGAGGUCGACGGGGACGACCGGGCGACGGUGGAGAAGCAGGCCGGCGGGGGAGCGCUCCGGUGACGGCGUCCAACGACGACGGCAACGGGGCGGUCGUCGAGCUCGAGCGGCGAGCAGCGGCCUCCUCCUCGAUCCCGAUCCAAUCGGGGGGAAAGGGGGAGGAGAUAUUUUCGUGGGGGGAAGUGGGGGUGUCGGUGGAGUGGGAGGGGUGCGGUGAGUGGAUAAGGAGUGGGGGUGGGUGGCCGGCUGGGCCUGGUGGGUUGGCCCAGUUGGGCCACUGCCCGGGGGGGUUUUCUUCCUCUCUUUUCCUUUUAGCUUUGUUUUCUGUUUUUGUAUUUUCCCUUUUUCUUUUAUUUAUUACUCUUUUCUGUUUUAAUUCAUUUUAAAAUAAUUAGGCACUUUCUAAAAAUAUGUUUUCUUUACUAUAAUUACCCUUGUAAUAUUCGGCACUCACCGGGCAUUUUGUUUCAACUCUCGAAAUUUUUGUUGUUUGACAUAUUUUCAAUUUAAAAUUUGAAGGGGUUUCGAAUCAAUGUGAGGUUAGCAACAGUAACCCUGGUGACGUGGCAUCGUUAACGUGGGAUUAUUGUAGCAUGAUUAUCCGGGCGUCACAAUUAGAGACAUCAAUGAUAAAGAUAAGUGGUUAGCUAUUCGAAUCCAAAUUGAUGAGACAGACUGUGACUUGAUUUGCAUCCAAGAAACAAAGAGGGA